rnacentral:rRNA from 1 species
GGUGAACGCUGGCGGCGUGCCUAAGACAUGCAAGUCGAGCGGGCCGCGGGGUUUUACUCCGUGGUCAGCGGCGGACGGGUGAGUAACGCGUGGGUGACCUACCCGGAAGAGGGGGACAACCCGGGGAAACUCGGGCUAAUCCCCCAUGUGGACCCGCCCCUUGGGGUGUGUCCAAAGGGCUUUGCCCGCUUCCGGAUGGGCCCGCGUCCCAUCAGCUAGUUGGUGGGGUAAUGGCCCACCAAGGCGACGACGGGUAGCCGGCCUGAGAGGGUGGCCGGCCACAGGGGCACUGAGCCGCGGGCCCGACUCCUACGGGAGGCAGCAGUUAGGAAUCUUCCGCAAUGGGCGCAAGCCUGACGGAGCGACGCCGCUUGGAGGAAGAAGCCCUUCGGGGUGUAAACUCCUGAACCCGGGACGAAACCCCCGACGAGGGGACUGACGGUACCGGGGUAAUAGCGCCGGCCAACUCCGUG